rnacentral:rRNA from 1 species
AUAUCAAUAAGCGGAGGAAAAGAAACCAACAGGGAUUGCCCCAGUAACGGCGAGUGAAGCGGCAACAGCUCAAAUUUGAAAUCUGGCCCCAGGCCCGAGUUGUAAUUUGUAGAGGAUGCUUUGGGCGCGGUGCCUUCCAAGUCCCCUGGAACGGGGCGCCAUAGAGGGUGAGAGCCCCGUACGGUUGGACACCAAGCCUGUGUAAAGCUCCUUCGACGAGUCGAGUAGUUUGGGAAUGCUGCUCUAAAUGGGAGGUAGACCCCUUCUAAAGCUAAAUACCGGCUGGAGACCGAUAGCGCACAAGUAGAGUGAUCGAAAGAUGAAAAGAACUUUGAAAAGAGGGUUAAAAAGCACGUGAAAUUGUUGAAAGGGAAGCGCUUGUAACCAGACUUGCGCCGGGGCGAUCAUCCAGCGUUCUCGCUGGUGCACUCGCCCCGGCUCAGGCCAGCGUCGGUUCAUUGGGGGGUACAAAGACGCCAGGAACGUGGCUCCCUCGGGAGUGUUAUAGCCUGGCGUGUCAUGCCCCCUCGUGGACCGAGGUACGCGCUCUGCAAGGACGCUGGCGUAAUGGUUACCAGCGGCCCGUCUUGAAACACGGACCAAGGAGUCGAGGUUCUGCGCGAGUGUUUGGGUGUCAAACCCGCACGCGUAAUGAAAGUGAACGUAGGUGGGAGCUUAGGCGCACCACCGACCGAUCCUGAUGUUCUCGGAUGGAUUUGAGUAUGAGCGUUGGGCCUCGGACC